UGGGGAAUAUUGGACAAUGGGCGAAAGCCUGAUCCAGCAAUGCCGCGUGUGUGAAGAAGGCCUUCGGGUUGUAAAGCACUUUUAUCAGGAGCGAAAACCUGUCGGUGAAUACCCGGCGGGCCUGACGGUACCUGAGGAAUAAGCACCGGCUAACUUCGUGCCAGCAGCCGCGGUAAUACGAAGGGUGCAAGCGUUAAUCGGAAUUACUGGGCGUAAAGGGUGCGUAGGCGGUUACUUAAGUCUGUCGUGAAAUCCCCGGGCUCAACCUGGGAAUGGCGAUGGAUACUGGGUAGCUAGAGUGUGUCAGAGGAUGGUGGAAUUCCCGGUGUAGCGGUGAAAUGCGUAGAGAUCGGGAGGAACAUCAGUGGCGAAGGCGGCCAUCUGGGACAACACUGACGCU
rnacentral:rRNA from 1 species